rnacentral:rRNA from 1 species
GGAUUAGAUACCCUGGUAGUCCACGCCGUAAACGAUGGGCACUAGAUACUGGGCCUAUAGACGGGUUCGGUGUCGAAGUUAACGCAUUAAGUGCCCCGCCUGGGGAGUACGGCCGCAAGGCUGAAACUCAAAGGAAUUGACGGGGGCCCGCACAAGCGGUGGAGCAUGUGGUUUAAUUCGAAGCAACGCGAAGAACCUUACCCAGGCUUGACAUCAUAGUGAAAGCCCCUGGAAACAGGGGCCCUCCUUCGGGACUCUAUGACAGGUGCUGCAUGGCUGUCGUCAGCUCGUGCCG